rnacentral:lncRNA from 1 species
GAACUUUUCAAGGCCAGGUCACACAAUAGCCUCAUGUUUUCUCCUCAACACUAAAUGGGUUUUGGAGAAGGACCUAAAAGAAUGCCAACAUCGUACCACCCUGACAAAAGGGGUAGAGACAUCCAACAGAGAAUGUUGAAGAUCAGUAUAAGCUCCUUCCUCUUGGUGUAGGAAGGGGUAAAGGAGAAGGUUUAAGUGAGAGAAGCAUUAGAACGUUAAACCUGCUGGGAAUUUCCUGGAAGUUUUCAUUGUUGUCAAAACUGGGCCUCUGUGAGAACUAAGAGAUGGGAAAUCCGGUUUCAGAAUGGCCAGGAUAUGUGAGAAACAGGGACUUCUUUAUUUUGUCCGCUAUUUACAGUGAAGUCAGGCAUAGCCCAGCAGCCUGCCACCUCCUUAGACUCAGACUGGACUAGAUUGGUAGAGAGCCUUGAAAAGCUAUCACCCUUGGCCUGAACGAUUGAUAACAGGGCCUGGUAGUUACAACAUCCCUAGUAGAGUGGGAAAAAGAGAUUUUAUUUUAGGCUGUAGCUUCAGGGUAUAUUUGGCCCACUGAACCCCUCCAUUUUCUGAGAUGGUAUACAUAAGGUUGCAGGGGUCACUGGCUUAGCAACUAGACUUAAGCUUCAGUGACAGUACUGUUCUACUCCUAUUUUGUCACAACUACCCAACAGAGCUUUCCAUCUCUUUCCCACUACUCUGCUUGUCCUUCACAGUAGUGCCAAAAGUUCUUAUCUUUUGAGUGCCCUUAAUAGACCUGCAAAACAUUUUUCAAAUAAAACUACAAUUCGAAUGUUUCUCCUCCCAAUUUUUUCCCUCUUUCUGUCUUAGCAUGAUCAUUGACCCAACUAGGUAUCUCAGAGUUAUCCUUGACACUUAGAAAGCACUUCCCGUAAAACUACAUCUUCUAUGUUUAUAUCUUUCUGAGUUUAUAUUGUCAUCCGUCUGUGUGUGAUUUAGAAAAUAAUUAAGAAUAUGAAGAAUUAAAAAAAAAACUACAUUGGUGAUUUGUCACUGGACUCCCACAGUUUUCCUCUUAGCUUCCAGAAAUAUAUCUCUGGGGCUCUCAACAGUUCCACGAGUACUUAUUAAGCAUAUGUCAAUGCCCAACAGCAUUUUAAGUACUAGAGAUAUAUUUAUCAAAUGUCCGCUCUAAGUCAAGCCCUGGAAUAGAUCCUAGUAAUAUAAAAUGAGAAGAAACAAUCUUUGCUAUUAAGUAGCUCACAGUCUAGAGGGCUACUGCUACAGUGGCUUUAAGGGAUACUGUACCCCUUUUAACAUUUUGGCCCAAAUAAAAGUACACAAGUCCUAUAACAUUGCUCAAGGAUAACUCCAGGAAAAUACAGUAUCAGUUUUUACUAAUCUGGCCUCUAAAUUACCUUGGUCAGUAGAAUGUGUUCUAGGUUCAACUAGGCACUGCUUUAAUAAAUUCCAAACCCAAGAGAGGCCCAGAAUAACUGAAUUCCCUCACCACUUUCAGAGGUUCUUUGUCUUGUACUCCCAUUCUUUACAAUAACGUAACAAAGUAAUGCCCUACAACUACCCAAAAGACAAAUUAACCUUAACAGGUAAUAGAGCAAAUCCAUUACUUACAAUUAGAAAAGGGACUAUUCUUACAUCUGUCUUCAGAGGAAGUAAGUCAUUUUUCAAAUAUGCAGAUACCCUUCAGAAAUCUCAGACAUACCUAUCCUGGAUUGCCACAAUAACUUGAUUCAUUUCACACUGCAACUUUUGCAAUGAAAACCUGAUCAUCUUAAUUCCCUGGUACUCACUAAUGGCUCAUUUCCUACAGAUCAGAGUCCUGAUUCCUUACUACGACUAUACGCCAUGACUAGGCAUCUGCUCAAUACUCCAGGUAUAUACCUUCUAAUUUUAUGCUACAGAAGCAUAGAAGUCCUCACUUUGGUUGUUACCCUGUAUCCAACUCUUGAUGUUCAUGCAAUACUUACCAUCUAGAGACCACACCAACUUUUACCUACUUAACCUGUACACAGAAUUUUGGGUGGUUCCUCUGACCAUCCCCUCCCCAAACCUAAGUUUUGUUACUUUGUCAAACUAGAUGCCUCAACUGGGCAGAGUGGCACAUACCUGUAAUUAUAGCAACUUGGGAGACUGAUGCAGGAGGAUCCCAACUUCAAAGCAAGCCUCAGCAACUUAGUGAGGCCCUAAGAAACUUAGUGAGACCCUGUCUUAAAAAAUAAAAAGGGCUGGAUGUGGCUCAGUGCUUAGGUGCCCUUGGGUUCAAUCCCUGGUACCAAAAACAAAACACUAGAUCUGUCUAUACUGUUUCUGUAAUAUACCAAAAUCACAUUGCAUUAGUGUCCUACAAUGAUUGGUCCUAAACAGCCACCCCAAAUUUGUCUAAAGCAGUCAUAUACUUCCAUCACUUGCUGUUUAUGGGUUCAGAAUCAACAGAUCUUAACUAAAAUUUGAGUCAGUGAAAAUCAAGGCUCUGUUCUGCUGGGAGAAUAUGUUGGCAUGUUAAGAGUGCCAUUGGAGGAACUAGAAUUAGGCUAAAGAUGACACUGAGAAUGGCAAAAACUAAAAGAAGCUGGGAAUGUAGCUCAGUGGUUGAGCACUUGCCUAGCAUGUGCAAGGCCCUAGGUUCAAUCCCCACUACCAAAAAAAGAAAGAAAAUGAAAAAAAUCCCCAAACUGGAAUCCUAGUUAUAUUUAAAUAAUCUUUAGUGAUUGUUGCCAUUUAAGUGCAGGGUUUCUGUUGAUUUUCUGUUAAUUGCUAGCAAAAGGAAUCUGAUACAUCAACUUGUAUACCACUGAACCUUCAGUGUUCUCAGAAAAAGUUUUACUAUGACUCACAGACCAAAAAACAUUUUACAUCAGAACACAAUAAUUACAAAUAUAUAUAAAUGAUACAAUUGUAUGUGCUUCUCAAAAUAUUUACCUUUAUAAAUAACUACACUAAUAUUUUCUCUUUUUUUUUCUAGUUCCCUUUUUUAAAAUGCUGAUCCCAAUUCAUUAAAUUGAUUUGACAACCCACUAAUGGUUUAUCACUUGCCUUACUGGUCUUAAUCAGUAUUUCAAUAACUAAGCAUCACCUUCACUAGAUAAAAUCCAGAAUUUUCAUAAUACAAAGGCCCUCUAUCGCCUCACCCCAGCUACUUUCAACCUCUUUUUACCAUUUGCUACCAUCCUUCAAAGGAAACUUAAUAUCUCAUAAUUUUGUCACAUUCCCUGUACUACAAUAUUUACCUUCUUUGAAGUCAACACCUCAUUCAAAUCUACAUUCAGAAGUCAUUUUUUUGAAGCCUUCUCAGAACUGGAGGACUUUGUGUCAUACCUCAAAUGGGAGCAGGUGCCCUCCGGUGUGCGGUUAUUUUCCUAUGGCCAAACACCUAUUAAAGCACUCAGCACACUAUACUACAGUGUCCUGUCUACUUGCCUGAUUCCCUAAUUCAACCAAGCUUCUGAAGUCAGGGACUAUAACUCGUUUUCUUGACAACAUUACUGAUACACAGUAGGUUCUUAGUACAUAUUAAUUAAAUGAAGAAUGAGCUAUAACCCAUGUGUGUUAGUUUUUCAUCACUCUGACCAAAAUACCUAACAUAAACAACUUAAAGGAGGGAAGGCUUAUUUUGGCUCAGUUUCAGAGAUUAAGUCCAUGUUCAGCUGGCUCCAGUACUUUGGGCCUGAGGUGAGGCAGAGGAAAGCUGCUUAUCUCAUGGCAGGCAAGAAGCAGAGAGAGGAGAAGAGGCCAGGGACAAGAUAUAGUCCCCAAAGGCAUGCCCCCAAUGACAUACUCUACCCAUGUUUCAUCUGUUUACACUUCGUACCACCUUCCAGUUCCAUUCAAAUGGAUUAAUACACUGAUGAGGUUAGAACCCUCAUGAUUCAAUCAUUUCCUAAAAACCCCACCUCUAUGCGUCACUGCAUCCAGGACCAGGUCUUCAACACAAGAGCUUUUGGGAGACAUUCCAGAUCCAAACUAUAACAUAUUCAACUCUAUCUGCAACUUACAAAACAAUAAACACAGUACUAUGUGCAGAGACAGGGCUAAGCUACACUGCUGCAUAUCCAAGACAAAAGAAAUGAUCUCCUUCCUCUUCAGGGAUUUGAAUGCUGAUAAUUAUUGUCAAAAAUGUAAGCAUGUGUAUAAUUCAUCCCCCACACAUUUCAUAUUCCAAUUUCCUGGAAUAUUUCUAACUAAAACACAGGCAGAAAACACCUAUACAUUUUCCAAAAUAGCCAAAAGCUAAAAUGAUGCCUCUUUUCUAAAGUAUUCACUAAAUUCUUCAGGCAAAGCUAAGCCUUAUUCUAGUGAUCCAAUUUUUUUUUAACGUACGCAUCAAUGCCCACACUUACAUAUAUGCCGUACAUUAGAUCCCCAGACUUGUUCAUGUUAUAACUGAAAGUUGGACCCAGGGUUGAGUAGUCUAGCACAGUGGUAAAGCAUGUGCUUAGCAUGUGUGAAGACCUGGCACCAAAAAGGAAAUAAAAGUUUGAACGCUUUAAUUGACUUUGCCCUAUUUUUCCCACCCUUCAACCCCUGAAUUACUGUACUAUUUUGUUUCUAUGAGUUUGGCUUCUUUUUAGAAGUAUUUGUCUUUCUGUGUCUACUUAUUUCACUCAGCAUAAUAUCCUUCAUGUCCAUCCAUUUUGUCAUAUAUGAG